rnacentral:rRNA from 1 species
UACGUAGGGGCAAGCGUUGUCCGGAAUCAUUGGGCGUAAAGCGCGUGUAGGCGGCCAGAAAAGUCCGCUGUGAAAACUCGAGGCUCAACUUCGAGCUGUCGGUGGAAACUUUCUGGCUAGAGUCCGGAAGAGGAGAAUGGAAUUCCUGGUGUAGCGGUGAAAUGCGCAGAUAUCAGGAAGAACACCCGUGGCGAAGGCGGUUCUCUGGGACGGUACUGACGCUGAGACGCGAAAGCGUGGGGAGCAACAGG